AUUGAACGCUGGCGGCAGGCUUAACACAUGCAAGUCGAGCGGGGGAAAGUACUUCGGUACUGACCUUAGCGGCGGACGGGUUAGUAAUACUUAGGAAUCUGCCUAUUAAGUGGGGACAAACUCCCGAAAGGGCUGCUAAUACCGCAUAAGUCCUACGGGGGAAAGCAGGGGAUCUUUAGGACCUUUCGCUAAAUGCUGGGCCUAAGUCGGAUUAGCUAGUUGGUGGGGUAAAGGCCUACCAAGGCGACGAUCUGUAGCGGGUCUGAGAGGAUGAUCCGCCACACUGGGACUGAGACACGGCCCAGACUCCUACGGGAGGCAGCAGUGGGGAAUAUUGGACAAUGGGGGGAACCCUGAUCCAGCCAUGCCGCGUGUGUGAAGAAGGCCUUAUGGUUGUAAAGCACUUUAAGCGAGGAGGAGGCUCUUUUGGUUAAUACCCAAGAUGAGUGGACGUUACUCGCAGAAUAAGCACCGGCUAACUCUGUGCCAGCCGCCGCAGUAA
rnacentral:rRNA from 1 species